rnacentral:lncRNA from 1 species
CGGUAUGCAUGUCCUAUGGGGGAACCCUUUUUGUGCCAAGGGUAGGCCUAGCAUGAAAAUGCAAUCCGCUAGAGUAGGCACUAUACAAUACCUGAUGGAUCUGAUCAACUCAUGGAGUGAAAAAUAAUUUGAAAAAUUUGGCCCAUUGGAAUGAGAAGAGACGUUGGUCAAAAUGAGGACCUCGUCCGAAGGGAUUGAUCACUUUUGAUCGAUAUAAGAAUUUGCAAAAAACGUACGGGUAUGACCUUGACGAACUUCCUAUCGAAGAGAUUGGAAUUCGUUGACAAACUUUCUCAGUGAAGCACGGAUCAAAACUCCAACUGAUGAUUUUCUCAAAAUUGAC